UGUAAAAUAAGCUAAGAAUAAGCUAUUGGGUUCAUACCCCAAAAAUGAAUGGUCAGUUCUUUUACAA
rnacentral:tRNA from 1 species